UAUGCUGAACAAAAUAAAAUUGGUCCCAUUGGGAUCUGAGUUGUACACGUAAAAGACUUGCAUUGUAAGUAAAUAUCUAAGCAGCUUUAAAUGGGACGGAAUAUUUUUUAAAUCAAUAUUCGCUGCUCGCUUAGCUUAGAAGAUUUGCAAAGUUCAUACCUAGUAGUCAUUAAAUAUGUAAAUACAUAUUGUUGAAUUAAAUAUAGCGGAGAGGCACAUAUUCUUCCAAAGUGAAAUUGAAGUGGUGCUAAAUGGAAAGUGUGCAUGCCGGUUUAAUCAACUAAUUGUGGCUGUUUAGCAUUGAGUGUAAUUUACCAGGCCCCGAUUUAAGGGUGGGCAACCCAACGCGCCAACUUUAAUAUGGGGAAGAAACAACCGUUAUGCUCAUAACGGUUGUUUCUUCCUAUCCCACAAUACAUUCCUACUUCUUUUUUACUUCUUCCUCAUCAUUUUUUCCUAUUCACUCACGAGUCACCAUGUGAAGCAACCCUCGUCGUCCUGAAGAAGACCCAAGAGGUCGAAACGUUGACAAAAAAGGCCUAAUCUGGACCCCUCCAAGUACUAAAAAAAACGAACUCUUAUAAUGUCCUCCACCUUGGUCCUCCUCCUCGCCACGGUCGUCUGCUUUUUUGCCAUCGUCCAUCUUCCCGAGGGGGGCCAGGCUGCCGAUGAUUGCACGGUGUGUCCCGAACUCAGAGUUUACCAGAAAAAGGAAGGCAGAGGAAUCGGAAGUUGACAAAGAGUUGGUGAGUUUUCUAAAACGCCCUAAGGAGAAUGAGGAUGAGCAUUAUCAUUUUGGGCUAUCUAUUGCUAAUCAAUUGCGGAAUAUGACUCCUAUGAUGUCAAGCUACGUUAAAUUACAAAUUCAAAAUGUCAUACAUAUCUCCCUCUAUCCAAAUCCUAAUCACCAAAACUAAAUCAAUUCAUUUGGUGUAAAU